rnacentral:rRNA from 1 species
GACGAACGCUGGCGGCGUGCUUAACACAUGCAAGUCGAACGGUAAGGCCCUUUCGGGGGUACACGAGUGGCGAACGGGUGAGUAACACGUGAGGAACCUGCCCUUGACUCUGGGAUAACAGUGGGAAACUUCUGCUAAUACCGGAUAUUCAGAUUCUGCCGCAUGGUGGGGUUUGGAAAGCUUUUGUGGUCAAGGAUGGUCUCGCGGCCUAUCAGCUUGUUGGUGAGGUAAUGGCUCACCAAGGCGUCGACGGGUAGCCGGCCUGAGAGGGCGACCGGCCACAUUGGGACUGAGAUACGGCCCAGACUCCUACGGGAGGCAGCAGUGGGGAAUAUUGCACAAUGGGCGGAAGCCUGAUGCAGCAACGCCGCGUGCGGGAUGACGGCC